UAAGCAGUUGUUGGUUUGUUUGGUUUUUUUUUUAAGUGUGUUUAUUGCAAAAGAUUGCUUAGAAAAGCCAGUGCUUUGGGUUUCUGCUGGAUGCAUGCUCUGUUCUAGAAAAAAAAAAGUCCCUUCAAAAUGAUGGAAAGGAGGCUUUAGUAAUGCAUGAAUGAUUAUAACUCUCAUAUUUACCAAUCACAAGAGGAAAUGAAUUUAAACAGCCACGUAAUCUGGUUCGCCUCACCGUGAACGAGGUGCCCUGCUAAACACCACACCAUCAGCCUUCUCUGACCACAGUGAUGUAGUUGACAACAGCGUACAACAGGUCUGUUUUCUCACCCUCUUAUCCCACCCAGAUAACAUCUGGUUGGACAGCCUAUUAGCUAUUGAUGCAAGAAUGCUUGUUCUCAGAACCACCAGGACUUGAGCGGGAGCCUUCUUGGAAGCCUCAUCAAGAGCACAUCUCUGACUUGGAGAAGGAAUUUCCAUAGACACUGCCCGAGCGGGAUGAUUUCUGGGUUUGUAGGUAAAGCUCAGAACUCAGGUAUUACUGACCCUAUUCUCUUUUCCACCCUCGGCUCACUGUUCCCCUGUUGGGCAUAUACCACUCUGCCUCUAUGUGAGCUGGCACUGAGAAUCCUUCCCAUCCCAGGGAGUUCUCAAGGAUAUUUAUAUUCUCUUUUCAAGAUCUCUGUGUAAUGAGAACUUCAUCGUACAACUCAAAAGUCAUGGAGGAACAUUCUAUUACAUGCCUUGGAGGGCUGGCUAUUACUUAGACAGGAACUAUGUCAGAUUUUCCCUCAAUGCCUUGAAGAUCUCUGCUGGUUUCCACUUGUCCAGGGCCUUAAACAAGUGAUUGCAUGUACAUGUGCUUUCACUGGAGAAUGAAUUGCCCAUAAAACAGUCCUGGAGUUGAUUUGAUGUACUUGUUUGUGAAGCUGGGAUGGUCCAUUGCUGACCACGAGUAAUCACAGCAGCUACAAUUCUUACCACCAAAGCUAUAUUCAUGCUGACAUGAGGGCACAUGAUUAUUUUAUUAUCCAUAUGCUGAUAUUUUUCUGGGAAACAAAUUAUUCACAGAAAGCACUUGUAAGGCAGAACCCACAUCUGACAUUUUCUGUGGCAGAGCAGAGUCUCUCCUCACCAUCCCUGCUGGCAGGGCAUCUGGAUUGGGUGCCCGCAGUUUUCCUGUACACAAACUGAGGGGUUCUGGAUCUUUUAUACUUUCUUUUCAAGGGUAGAACCAAUGUUUAGAGGUUUCUGCUUUCUCUUAACUCUGCUGAAAAUCCAAUGUGUUACUCUUUAAAAGAGAAAAGCCCUUAUAUGAUACAAUUAGAGAAGUGUUACUUCCCCUUAGUAGCAGUCCCAGUUGAUCACCACCUUGAAGUGGAAUUUCCUGAUUUUUCUUAAUACCUAAUAACAAACAACUUUAUUGAAGAAAUAAGAACUUUGGUUGUGUAAUUUUUCAGAAAAAAAAAAUACUAUGAUGCAAUCCCUUUGCAUGACUAGAGAGAAAUUUUUGGUCAAAACUUGGAAAAAUCGUUAACAUUUAUAAUAUUGUUAAAGAGAAAAGAAUUAUAAGCUGCAAACAACUAAUAUAAAAUGAACUUUUAAAACUGCAACCUAAUUGCAAGUUGGGAGUGUUGCCAAACUGGACCAUUAAGAGAGUUUUAGCUCUUGUCCAGGACUGUGCUAAGGCAAGGAGCCUGAGAGGCAGAAUUUAGUUCGCCAAAGAUCUUUUUAAGGUGUUAGUCUGAAGUGAGUAAUUUCCAAACUACACAGUAAUUUAGAUAUUUAUGAUCAAAUGGAAUGAAUGAUUGAUUGAAUAAGAAUGUCCUUUAUGGUUUUGAAUACAAUAAUUCUAACCCAAAUGAGGGUAUGACCCAGUUGUAAUGGGAAGGGAGGAACUUCUACAAAUUACCCAGACCCUUGGAAGAUCCCUGUGUAUGUUGGGAAAUGUUACUGGAGAAUGUGUUGCCUAGGGAAGAAACAAAGGCAGGCUCCAUUGCUUUAGAGUGGAAAGGCAACCUCAAAUGCCUCCAGUGGCCACGUGGGUGAUGUAUGUACAUGAAGCUGCCCUUUCAGUCUACUUUUUGUUUUCCUAUUUUGAUAGAGUCAUGGAUACAGAGAAAUAUUUCUCUUCAACAAGAGAAGUAAGAGGGACAAGUAUGAUGAUAAAUGGAGAGGGACCCAACUACAGAAUAAUAUGGCGAAAGGAAGGCAAAGAGACUAUUGAGACAAGGGCCAGAUCUUCCUGUUUUUCAAGAGUAUCCAGAAAUCUCAAAUUUUUUAAGAUCCUGCAGAUUUUUUGAAACAAUUCACGAAACAAAACAGCGCAAAGCAAACACAGUACAUCUGCAGGCCCAUUCCAACCCUCAGACUACCAAUAUUGGAACUCAGGUUUGAAUGUCAGUGCUGUUCAUUAUGAGAAAUGUACUCCUAAACUUGUGCCCAUGAAGCUAUCACAGGGUUUCAUAUGUUGCCUUAUCCAAUCAUCGGCGGUCCUGUGCCAAAGCUUAACUGAUAAUGUGGAACUCGCUACUGAACAUAAUGUUUACUGCUGACUAAACAAAUUGCUAUUGGAAAGCCUCUUCUCCCCAUCUUUUGGGUAUAACUGCAUUGUGGAGUAGCCAUUCUGGUCUUUUCUGCACCAGAAGGAACACUAGAGUAAGAACUCAGGUCACGCUCCCCUAGGAAAUAUUUCCCAGUGGGAAAAUACUUCAUAGACUUGUUGCUCCUAAGUUCAGUUGUCCCAGGGUCUGUAGACAGAAACUGAAAUGCAUAAAAUUAUUACUGUGUUUCUUGGACUAAGCUUUCUAUUGUGGAAGAUUCUAGAAAACAUGUUGUAAGUUUAAUUGCACUAAAGCCACAUUUAAAUUCUGAGACAUCUAAGUUGUAUUUUUUACUUGAAACAUCCGUGUUUAUGAGUUGUGGCUCUAUAGCCCUUGUAAGUCAUGUUCCCCUUUCCCUAAAUUUGAAACUCCAAUCUUUUCAAACAUCCCUGGUGUGUAUUAGCAUUCCAGAGGCUGCCAGAAAGAAGCUGGGAGGAAGCCUAAUGGCUAGAUUUGUACUCAAGUACCUAUUUUUUGGACAAGAAGACUAUGUCUAUGCCAACACACCACAAAACAAAAUAGGGGUUUGGUGCCAGUUUCUAUUGAUUUCGUCAGGAUAGGCAGCCAAACUAGAAAUUUCAUGCCAGAAAUAUGGGUUGGUUUGGCUGACUUAGCCUGAUUAUUCACUGGAUAAUAAUUAAAUGUCACAUCUGGUUGUGCAGCAUAGACAUAACUAUUACCUCCUCACUUCUGAAUCUUUUCAGAAACUAGUGCUUUCUUCUUUUCUCAUUCUAAGUGUGCAUUCUCCCUCAAUCACUUACCUCAGAAGAAAUCUUUGGUGUCACCCCAGUUUUCUGGAAGUGGGGAGCACAACUUUUGACAAGCAAUCUCUGUGGAGUUGGGCAUGAUGUAAGUAAAAGAGGUGAGAGAGGAGUGUCAACACAAGAGUAAAAAAGCAACAGUGUCUGGGACGUAUGGUAGGGCACCCUGGAGGCAGGAUUAUCAAAUAGAUGAAAUUUCUCAUUUAACAUUCAUUCAUUCUUUAACAGCUGUUUAUUACGCUCCUACUAUGUCAGACACUGGGGAUACGUGAACACAAAGAUACAGUCCCCAAGAAGAUGUAUGUUGGGUGCUGAGGAGAGAGCUUCCCUGCAUCCCUUAAUUCCCAUAAUAUUCCAGUUCCAACUAGAAGGAGAUAAGACUCGUUCUCUGUACUCCCAACAAGAAAGAGACAAGUUGAUUUUUAAGAACAUGGUUUCAAAUCUGAUUUUCAUGUCACAGCAUCUCCAUCCUAAAGUCCAGAAUUUUCCAUCAUAGGUACCACCUCAGUCUCAUUUACUUAAUAUUUUCUUUAAACCAACAUACUCUUCUUCCACAGCCUACAAUCAUUACCCAAAAUGGAAACCUCCUAUUACUUGUCAUGUGGAGAUAAGUAACAAUGUUAUGAAAUUGUAAAUUGAUACAAUUGCCUAACAAAGGUCUGGGAGCCUCAGACCCGACUCCCCCACUCUUGUAUUUUUAAAUGGCCAGGCGCUGUGGCUCAUGCCUGUAAUCCCAGCACUUUGGGAGACUAAGGCUGGCAGAUCACUUGAGGUCACGCGUUCGAGACCAGCCUGGCCAACAUGGUGAAACCCCAUGUCUACUAAAAAUACAAAAAUUAGCCGGGAGUGGUGGCGUGUGCCUGUAAUCCCAGCUACUCGGGAGCCUGAGGCAGGAGAAUCACUUGAACCCAGGAGGCUGAGGUUGCAGUGAGCCAAGAUCGCGCCACUGUACUCCAGCCUGGGUAACAGAGUGAGACUCCAUCUCAAAAAAAGAAAUAUAAAUAAAUAAAUACAUACAUAAAGAAAUAAAUAAAGAGAGGGGAUUAGCAAAUGUUAACAAGGUGUUAAAUACACAUUAUCACCAAAAUAAGACUUUGCCUUUCCUGUAAUCCAAAGAAUCAAAAGAAAAUUGAAAAGAAUGACUUUCUCACUGUGAUUGGUUUCCAUGCCACAAAAACACCUAUCCCGCUUUGGGAAGCACUGAUCUGGUCCAGCCAUUCCUGCAGUGUCCCUUCUAAAUGACUGUCCAGCUUCUUCCUGAACAUUUCCAAGGACAAGAGAUCUUUGGAACCCAUUUGUCCUUAGAAUACUCUAGCAAUACUUUUUUUUAAAUCCAAAAUAAAACAAAUAAAUUUGAAAACCAGAAAAACAAAACACAACACCUGCCUCUCUGGUCCUCUCCUCUCCAUGUGACAAGCUCUAUGAUGUGUCACAUAUUAUUUGGGCAGCUUCUUUUCAAAUCUAUAGACCAACAACUUCAGUCGAAUGUGGGACUCAACGACUGUUGAAGGCAACAAGCUAGAAUCACCAGCAAAGGGCUUUCUUAAUUAAAAAUAAUAAAUGUCGUACCUCAAAGUAUGGUCCUUUGGCUUCAGAGAAAUCAGUUACAGUAAGAGUGAACUAAAGUUUUGUCAUUUCAUGUAACACAAAAGGGCUAGACAAUUCUUAAAUCUUGAGCAUCUGAAGGAUUUGUCAAGGGCUUGCAAAAUGAGUCAAAAUCACUUAAGAGAAAUUUAAUAUCUUAAACUAUGCAUUGCCAUGGCUCUGGUGUAUAUCUGAGGCCUGUUUGAAUACUCUGAGCAUUUAUGGACAAGAAAAGGAGCUGUAGAUUUCACCACCUGCCCCCCUCAACACCUACCCAUACAUUGUAUUGAAAAAAAAAAAAAACAAUAUCUCAGGCAGGGAGGAGUUUCUUUAGCCUUCCCUUUCAUUCUCUGUAAAAUGUAAGUGAUAAGAUACCUGUGUCACAAGGUUGUUGUGAGGAUUUAUGCCUGGCACAUAGUAUGUAUUCAGUUAGUGGUAGCUGUUGGCAGUAAGAGUAGCAGCAAGAGCUGUCCUCUGGCGGUUCCCAUUGUAUAAAUGAAAAUUCUAGAGCAAGAAGACAGAGCUUCAAGUCAGGGGCACAGAACUGAGGCUCCAGAUUCCACAAGUCUCAUUUGUCUGUGAUCCCUGAAGCAACAACUUUCCUAUUAAGGUAAACUGAAGAAACCAUAAAAUUAAUCCAGUAACAACAUGGGAGCCAGCGAGAAUUCCUACCUCAUGACUGGAAGGGAUAGGUUUCUGCCCUGCGGCAUGGAAUUCGAUUACCUUAUCACAGCUGCAUAAUUCUAAAUAUUUUCAUUGGUUAUACAACUGCUCUGUCUUUUCUGAGAAACUCAGCCCCAGUGUGUAGCACCCUGGACUCCACAGGGCAGUAAAUUCCACACACUGCACCCAUGUUGUGAGCGGAGAUUUUCAGGCUGACCAAAACUUGAGGCAAACUGAGUCUCCGUCUUAACACUCAAACACACUUCAUGGCGGCCUGGAAUCAAGGCAGUCAUUACGAAGCUUCAGCCCAGUUCAUCUGAAACCAACGUAUUGGGCCUGCUUCAUUGUCUCUCAAGGGGCUAAUCACAAACAUGUGGGAAGGGAAGCUAAGGAAUGCCUGUCUAGAAAGGGAGGUUGUAUAAUGUAGUGGGAAGAACCUCUGUGUGGGGUAAACUUUUUGCAUCAUGUAGAAAGCAAAUCUGGGUAACUAAAUGUGUGUGCGUGUGUGUGUGUGUGUGUGUGUGUGUGUAUUUAGGUUUUGGUGAGGUAUAAAGUCAUUUAAGUCUAGCUAUACCAAAAAGAAUUUACCUUUCCAUUACAGAUGAUUCAUUCAGUAAGCAUUUGUUGAGGAUUUGUAUGUGCCAGGUGCUUCUCUAGGAGCUGAGGAUACCAAAAUGGAGAAGACAAGAUUUCUGCCCUCAAGGCAUUCAACGUCUGGUUGGGAGAUGGACUCAUGAUUGCAGUAUUCAUGGUAUCAGUGACACGGAUAGUAUCAUCUCAAUGAAGGAACAACUUAGGGAAGGAACGAUGCACCCGUCUCUUGCCCUUCCUCUCCAGUAUUCGGGCUUCCUCGCUGGGAAAUAACUCUAUUAGCAGAGAAGAAGGGGCUCUUUUCUUUUUUCUUUCUUUCUUUCUUUCUUCUUUCUUUCUUUCUUCUUUCUUUCUUCUUUCUUUCUUUCUUUCUUUCUUUCUUUCUUUCUUUCUUUCUUUCUUUUCUCUUUCCUUUCUUUCUCUCUUUCCUUUCUUUCUCUCCUUCCUUUCUUUCUCUCCUUCCUUCCUUUCUUUUUCUUCCUUUUCUUCUUCUUCUUUUUUUUUUUUUGGCCCUGAAUUGUUUUCCUCUCACCUGAGUCUUUCACCAUUAAAUGCAGAAAGAACCAGAGGUGUGGCCCUGUGAAAUUCCCAACAAAAGUCAACCUGAGGAACAUGGCCUCACAAAUGCGAAGUAAAGGAGAAAAGGUGCUUGACAGGCUUUCAACGACAGAAAACUUCCCUUUCAGAGGGAACUUGCAGGAAGGGAGCCCGGAGACCUGAGGAUCUCUGGGCUCAUGCAACCCUGCUCCCAGAGCAGGAAUCCCCACUCCAGCCCCUGGAAAGUGGCCAUGGAGCUCCCCAAAAUGGUCCAUUCUUAGGUGGUCUCAACUAUGAAGUCUGUCUUCUGUGAGGUCCACCUACUGGUCCUAAUUGUGUUAUUUGGCACAAUUAGGAUGGCAGUCUUUCAGAUGGUCUCAGGGGAGCACCUCACAGUCUGUUGGGCACCUAAGCAUAAGCGAAGUGUCCCAGUGCUUCUUCUGUGCCUGUUCUCCAGGCCUUCCACCAUCCUGAUUGCCUCUCCACCAUCCACUGUGCUCCCAGAGCUGAUCCUGGUGCUCCAGAUGUCAUGUGACUGGGAAGGGACAGUGGUCUAGAUCCAGUCCUCUAUUAAUGCAGGCCAAGGUUGGGUCCGCUGCUUCACCAGCCACGACAAACCACUGGCUUAGAGGAGUUAAGCCUGUGGUAAACUAAAUCCUGCAGAACUGAGUGUGGAAGGACUUUUGUGGCAAAAAUGGAAUCGUUCUUUAAUUAAAAGAUCAGUAAUAACAGGCACAUGGCUUUGUUGUGAGAUGCUGCUUUCCAGAAGGCUUGAGCCUGUGCGAGUUAGAAAUUCUUAUUUGCUAAUUUCAGCAGCUUCAAGUGAGCCAGUGAUUUUCAUCAGUUCUGGUUUGGAAGAAAUUUUUGAAAAAUUUAAAGAAAAUAUAAAUAAGAGAGGAAAAUUUAAAGCUUCCUUUAUCUCUAGGAAAAAUAAGAUUUUCUACCCUUAAAUUAUCAGCUUAAUAAAUCUCCUUCAGAAUGCUGUGGAACUGCAAGUUUCUUCUGCUGAUACCAUAGUUUCCAAGAGAGUGAGUUACCUGAUUAAUUCUGACUUGGAGGUUUGUGCCUAAGGAUUGUAGGUGGCAGGCUGGGGUUGGAGGCGGGGAAUGCUUCCGAAGUGAGACACCAUCUUAGGCUCUUCUAAUUUCUACAGUUCAGAUUCUGAGAGGAUGCACUGUCCCAUCAGAUUAAUUGCACUACAUAGAGGUAGUGCCCAGCCUCCAAUCCCUGCCCCCCACCCCAGAGUUCUUUAAUUAAUUGAUCUGAAACGGAGCUUGGGAAUUGACGUUUGUUUGUAGUUCUCUAGAUGAUUCUAUUGUGCACCCACGGUUGAAAACUACCACUUUACAGUUUUUUAGAAUUGUUGUUUUCUGGUGCCACAGGCCCUCAUUGUUACUACUUUAGUUGAUACCUUUAUUAGUUCAGAUACCCCCUCUUCUAGGAAGCCUUCCCUGGCUUUCCCCUGCUAAUACAGGCUCACAGAGGUGUAGGUACGUUUCCACCUUAUCACAGUUACUGCAUCACAAUGGAAUGUGCUGUUAACAUGUCUAUCUUUCUCAUAAAGACUUCUUGAAGGUACUGUGUCUUUAUCUGGCACAUUCUUUGCAUUGCCUAGAGGACAGAGUCUGCAUUCUUGCCACGACAAAUAAGAGCCUUAGCAGCCUUCGCAAGCCCCUCUACCAGCUUUAUUGCCUGCUGCUUCCCUGGCGGAAACCCUGUCCCUCUCUCAAUGUCCUAAUGCCCUCAACACUUCAUCCUUAGUAUGUUUCCCUCUUCCCUACUCCAUCAGAAUUCUUUACCUACUUCAAAGUAAAUUGAAAGCUUAGCUUUCAAUCUUUCCUUAAAGUUAGCCCUGUUGAUUCCUCCCUGGAGUACCUGUCACUGUCACUCAUACAUUACCAGAACAUGCUGUCAUGCUCCAAACUAAACUGAGGGUUCCACUAGGACCAUGUUUUAUGUAUUUUUGUGGCAUCUGGAGCAAAGUUCAUCCUGCCUGAGAAGUGUACCAUUUUUAAUGGUUUUUUGCUUGUUUGUUUGUUUUUGAGAUGGAGUCUCGCUCUGUCGCCCAGGCUGGAGUGCAGUGACGCAAUCUUAGCUCACUGCAACCUCUGCCUCCCGUGUUCAAGGGAUUCUCCUGUCUCAGCCUCCUGAGUACCUGGGACUACAGGUGCCCGCCUCCACGCCCAGCUAAUUUUGUAUUUUUAGUAGAGACAAGGUUUCACCAUAUUGGCCAGGCUGGUCUCGAACUCCUGACUUUGUGAUCCACCCACCUCGGCCUCCCAAAGUGCUGGGAUUAUAGGCAUGAGCCACCGCGCCCAGCUGGUUAUUUUUAAUCACAAAAGCAAUGCAUUCUCUAUUAGAAAUGACACAUACAGAUAUUGAUGAGCAUAAAGUAAAAAGUGAAAUGCUACUCUGUAAAGGUAACAACCGUUAACAGUGCUAGACCUGUUGCUGGAGAAGCAGUGUGUGGUAGGGAAUAAGUGUUCAGGCUAGAAGAACUGAGUUGGAAGCCCAGCAUGGCCACUUCCCAGCUCAGUGACCUUUGAUGGGCUACUUUAUCUCUCUCAGCCUCAGUUUCUUUAUCUACACAAUGGGGAUAAUAGUAGUAUCUACCUCAUUGGAUUGUUGUGAAUAUGCAAGUUAAUACACAUUAACCAUACUGCCUUACACACAAUCGCUGCCAAAACAUUGGCACUAUUAAUCUUUCACACUCUUUGUUAAAAGCUUACACAGAAAUAUACCAUUGUUUUUAUGAAAACGGAAUCAUAUGUAUUGUUCUAUAAUAUGCUUUAUUUGGGUAACAUUCUCCUAUGCAGAUAUGCCUUAUCACUGAAUGAUUAGGGUAUCUCUAAUAUUCUGCUCUUUCAAAUAAUUCUGCAGUAAACUUCAGCAUGUAUGUAUCCUUGUAGUCUAUUUCUGAAUGAUUGAUAACUAAAAGCAGAGCUGUUAGAGCACCAAGCAUGUGCAUGUAAAAUCCAGAGAGAUGUUGCUAAAUUACCUCCCAAAAUUAUUCUCCCAAAAGGAUGCUGUUUUCUCCUACUCCUUCAGAAGACAUUCUCCACUACAAAUUCCAUACAGUUUUAUUUAAAGUCAUUUUUAUUACUCAGGUGGUGCAUGAAUGCUUACUAUUUGUGUAAGUAAAAUAGAAAAUGCUAUGUAUAAAGGAAGACAUGAAAGUACACUGCACACGCAUGCACACACACACACUCACAAACACAAAGACCCCCACUCUAUUGACUCCAAUUUGAAUGGACUUCUAAACUGAUCACCCUGGAAAUGACUGGGAACCCGCAUUCCAUUAUAAAAAGACUCUGUGUACCAUAAAGCCUAGUAAAAAGAUGCUGGAGUUUCUGCUAGCAUCUUAUAUAGACAGAGAGAGAGGAAGAGGUGGAGGCGGCGGGGGCAAGGGUCUAUAACCAGACAAGGAUUUCUGUGGCCAUGUCGUGAAUUGUAUGCCUCCAGAGGACAGUUCUGUUUUUUCCCUCUGUUUGGUAUUCGGUGGUCAUUUCAUGAUAAGCAGAAAUAAAACUUUGGGAUAGUGCUAUUCUCUGCUGAAGGACUGAUUUACCUGAAUGAUCUUCCAAUUUUGAGUCUAGGCAGAAUCUAGGGUCCUAAGUCUUAAGUGUCUCCAAAUUCAUUUUACCAGGCAAGAUAGACUUCUUUUUGCUUCUUCAUGGUGAAGAUCCUGGCAAUAAUCUCAGAUCCUCAGGCUGGAAGCUGGUGCAUUACCCCAUGAUGUACUUCUUUCACUAACCCAUCAACUUCUUUUUUUUUUUUUUUUUUUUUUUUUUUGAGACGGAGUCUCGCUCUGUCACCCAGGCUGGAGUGCGAUGGCGCGAUCUCGGCUCACUGCAAUCUCCGCCUCCCGUAACCCAUCAACUUCUAUACUACCAGUGUAACACUUUUCUCAACUGGACUGCCUCAUAUGGGGAUAUAGGCUUGCCAUCUUUGUGUUUAUUUUUUGAAACAAUUGUUUGAGUUUCCAUCCAGGUUUUCUUCAAAGGGAAGAAAUUUCCCCUAAAUUACCAAGCUGGUUUCCUCUCACAAGGCAUUGGAUUAAGAGUGGCCAGUAGCUGAGCUUUGUGAUUCUGAGGAUAAGUAAUAAGUCAAAAAGAGCUGUUGGCUAAUCCUUUAGAAGGAUUCUAAAAGAAGAGUAAGAUGAUUGUAAGCUUCCUAGAUCCAGGCUGUUAAAAUGACAUCCAUAUUACCAAGACUUGUCAGUACUGUUAAGGGAAAAAAGAGGGGAACCCCUAUAUACAAAAACACAAUCUUGUUUCAUCUAUAAUACCCCUGGUCCCCCUCCUUCAUCUACACCGCCACCCCCACCUACACCCACCACUUGAUCAUUUUAUAGCAGAUAUUUUAUUACAUUUUUGAAAGCAAAGGAAACAUAAGACAGGUGUACUAUUUUAAGAUUAUAUUAACAUAUUUCAUGUUUCUUUAAUGCCCCAACACACACACACAUACACACACACACACACACACACACACACAUACACACACACUCACACCAAGAGCUGAUCACUUGAACAAAUUGUUAACCAAUUGACUUGCUUCCCAUUUCUGGUAUAAGCUUCUGUACCAGUGCUUUAUAUUAAUUAUCAAAACCUUCCUGCAGCCAGAGCAUGAUAAAUUUUUAGUACAGGAUGAUGCAAUAAAAUGUUUAUGCUAUGAAGUUUGGGGACAAAAUUUUUCAUCAUGACAUAAUGUGCAUGUAUGGGCACACAUAGCUUUGUAUGUUUAUUCUUUUUUCAGAAGUCCUUCCAAUUCUAAAAUGUAUUGUAGUCUGACAGUGCCUCUAAUAUUGGUAAUUCUUUUUAAGUUUAUAACUUUUCCAGAGUUUGUUUCUGCACUUUAAGGUUUCUUAACUAGAUUAUUUCUAGUUGAGCUGUAAUUUCAAUCUAUAGUUCUCCAGAGUGUGCUAAGUGAUGAAGUUUCAUUAUUUUAAAGCUACCUCCCUGAAAGUAUAUUACAAAUGUUCUACAAUUGUAAUAUAGUGAUUCAUACAAAAAAAAAUCCCUAUUUUCAGCAUACCUAAACUACACACUAAAUAUUUAAGAAAAAAAAAGUGGAAACAUUAGUAGCUUUUAUACUGGAAUCUUGCCAUUUCUUUUUCAAUUUAAAAUAGAAUUUGGUUGUCUUAUCUUGGGACCCUAUGCUUCAUGACAUAUCUGAAAGCAUUCUUUUGGCAUGGAUCUGGAAGAUAGCUUUAGAGCCAGACAUCAAUGUAGUAGUUCUCAACAUACUGAAAAUUUAUAACAUUAUUAUGGGUAUAAUAAAAAAUGUUUACAUAUUGAAUUCUAUAAUAUAAAGUAGGAGCACACUUACUAUGAGAAAUAUAGCUCCUAUGCAAUAUAAAAGUAAAAUUAUAAGCAUAUUUCCAUAAACAGUAAAAGCUACUGAGUCUAAGCAUGAUUGACGAUUUCAAAUGUUCCAAUAUCAUUUAGGCAUAAUACUUCAAAGCUUUCAAGCCCUUUUUCUGCUAGCAUUCAGAAAAGUAGAGGACAAGAAAGGAUGAAGAAAAAUUUAUAGUGAAAAAAUCUUAAAAUUGAGAGAAUUCAAUCUAUUAACUUUAAUCUAUACAUCUUUUUUCUCUGAAUUGGGUACAUUGGCAUCAUUAUUUGAUUUUAGCAGCAAACAUUUGGAUUUAGCUUACGGAAGGCAGAUGUCCUGUGGGAACGUGACUUGAAGUCACCAUAUAACUUCCCGCUAAAUAAACAUCUGAACUAUAACUUGACAGCUACCAAGUGAGGUCAAGUGUCUGAAAGUGCUAUGUACACCACAUAAGCACGUUUUCCUUAUGUGAAGGAUGCCUUUCUAGCAAUGUGUAUCAGACUUUCAAGUACUCAAAACAUACUUGCUGCCAAACUUUGCCACCCACCACUAACCUCCAUUUGAUCUUUAGAAGGUAGAAACUUAUUUUACAAUAGAAAAAGAGAUUAUUUUACUUGUAUGAUGUCCCUAAAAUUAUUUCUUGGUAUUGAUAGACUUAGGUUUAUCUUAUUUCAAGUUUGCCUUAUUUUUUAAGAGGUUUAUUGAGAUAUAACUCACAUACAUGCAAUUUACCCAUUUAAAGUGUACAGUUUAAUGGCUUCCAGUAUAUUUACAGAGUUAUGCAUCCAUCAUCACAAUCAAUUUUAGGACAUUUUUAUCACCCCAGAAAUAAAGCCUGCAUUCAUUGGCCAUCAUCCCCCAAUUCCCCCAAGCCCUCAGCCCCAGGCAAACUCUAGUCUACUUUCUUUCUCUAUAGAUCUACCUAUUAUGAACAUGUCAUGUAAGUGAUAUCAUUCAAUAUAUGGUCCUUUGUGACUGGCUUUUUUCACUCAGCACAAUGUUUUCAAGAUUCAUCCAUGGCGUUGUAUAUAUCAGUACUUCAUUCCUUUUUAUGGCUGAAUAAUAAUAUGAUAUAUGCAUAUUGCAUAUACAUGGACAUGUGAUAUGCCCAUAUGAUGGAAUAUUACCCAUUCAUAUAAUGAACAUAUCACAUGUCUGUAUUCCAUAUAUGACAUGUCCAUAUAAUGGAAUAUUAUCCAUUCAUUAGUUAGAUAUUUGGGUUGUUCCUAUUUUUUGGUUUGGUUUGGUUUUUGCUAUUAUAAAUAAGGCUGCUUUGAACAUUCAUGGACAUACGUUUUCAUUUCUCUUGUGUAUAUACUUAGGAAUAGAAUUGCUGGGUGGUAUGAUAACUCUUCUUUGCCUUUUGAAGAAUUACCAUGCCAUUUUCCAAAGUGGCUGCACUAUUUUACAUCCCCAGUAGCAGUGUAUGAGGGUUCUAAUUUCUCCACUUUCUUACCAACACUUCUUAUUAUCUGUCUUUUUGUUAUUGUUCAUCUUUUUAUCAGUGUGGGUAUUAAAUGCUGUCUCACUGUGGUUUGAUUUGCACUUCUCUGAUGGCUAAUAAUGUCAAGUAUAUUUUUAUGUGCCUAUUAGUCAUUCAUACAUCUUCUUUAGAGAAAUGUCUAUUCAGAUCCUUUGCCCAUCUUUUAAUUGGGAUGGCUUUUUAUUAUUGAAUUGUAGUCGUUCUUUAUAUAUUAAACUUACACUUUGUAAAAAUGCUGGUCACUAGACUACCCAGAGAUUACUGUACCACUUGUCGUAAAUCAUAGCUAUGGUCCUCCUUGAGAAGAAUUCCUUACUGUAGUUAACACCUGCUCUAAAUAAGCACUCUUAAGUGCUUGUUACAAAGUGUAAUGUGGGCCGGGCACGGUGGCUCACGCCUGUAAUCCCACCACUUUGGGAGGCCGAGGCGGGUGGAUCAUGAGGUCAAGAGUUCGAGACCAGCCUGGCCAACAUGGUGAAACCCAGUCUCUACUAAAGAUACCAAAAAAUAGCCGGGUGUGGUGGUGUGCACCUGUAAUCCCAGCUACUCAAGAGGCUGAGGCAGGAGAAUUGCUUGAACCCAGGAGGUGGAGGUUGCAGUGAGCCAAGAUUGGGCCAUUGCACUCCAUUAGGCCAUUGCACUACAGCCUGGGCAACAGGGCAAGACUCCGUCUCAAAAAAUAAAUAAAUAGACAAAGUGCAAUGUGAAUAAUAAAACAUCAGUGAAAAUAAGUAGUUUUAUAUUAUUACGUACUUUUGAAGUAAAACAUCUCCCCUCACCCCCCCACAGCAAGGAGAUAUAAUAGCCAAAACCAAAAAGGAAAUACAGUGGGACGUCAUCAGUAAUACCUUUUGUUUGUCUUAGGUGUGAGAGGACUCUUGCUCUUCUCUGCGUGAUACAUGUUUUAGCUAAAGCUUUGAAGUCAUAAGAUAUGUAGUCUAGGUAUUAUAAUUGUGCAUUUCACAUUUCAAAAAUUGUAAAAUUCAAAUGUUAAGUCUUUGGCUACACUAAAAUAAUUGUUGAAAUCCCUUAAAAUGUAGAUGGUAAACUCAUCAGUUAUAACUUUUUGUUGCAUUAAAAUAUAAUAUGAGUUUAUUUCUUUAGUUGUGAAUAAAAAUAAGGUUAAUUACAAAAAUAAAGCAGGUAACACAACUAUUUGAAUAUGCUUAACACUAUUGAAUUGUACCUCUAAAAAUAGUUAAGAUGGCACAUUUUAUUAUGUGUUUUAUACCAUAAUUAAAAUUUUUAAAAAUAAGGCAGAUAUAAAUAUUUUAAUGUCAAUUCUUUUGAGUGGAAUAUUCUAAAUGAUUAUUUGCUUAUCAGUCUAACUUAAGCACAGUUAAUCACUUUUACACUGCUUUGAGUUAGAUGGCUGCUCCCUGUCCUAAAUUUUACCUUCUGAGAUGAGUAAUACAGAUACUCAAGUUAACCAGGAUGUUAGUCCGUGGAUCAGUGAUCAGGUAUCUCCAAGUCAAGACAUUCCUCAGCCACCCCUGUGGUUGUCCUGUGAGGUGGUUAGGGGCGAGGGUGGGCCUGGGGCGAGAUGGCCUCAACAGGAGGACCUCUGGAUUACAUAUCCAAGUUUCCUCUCAGGAAUGUGGAUGCUAAAAGUGAAGUGCUGAUAACAAAUCUCACUGGUAUGAAGUAGAUUUUACAAGCUGCUUCGGUCUCAGGCUACAUCUCAAUUUAUGGGGUGGCCUCAUUGCUGAAAGUUCUGUGUAGGUCUUUUACAAUUGUAUUGAAUUUUACAUCCAUUAUAAUGCUUUUUAUUAUGAGUUCUAAUUCCAGGUUGGUUAUUUUUAAUUCAGAAAGAAUGAAUACUUGCUUUCUGGAGGUAUCUGCACUUGAGUAUCUGCAAGGAGAGCCCCUCAAGUUCUGUUUUUGGGGAUCCUCCCCUUUUGAAAGCACUAAUCGGACCUCAAAGCCAGAUUUUAUCUUUGAGGACUGACUUCCACUACCUUUUUUUUUUUUUUUUUUUUUUGACAGAGUCUCACUCUAUCACCCAGGCGGGAGUGCAGUGGAAUGGUCUCGGUUCACUGUAACCUCCACCUCCCAGGUUCAAGCAAUUCUCUCCCCUAGCCGCCCAAGUAGCUGGAAUUACAGGUGCCCACCACCACGCCCAGCCAAUUUUUAUAUUUUUAGUAUAGACGGUUUUCACCAUCAUGGCCAGGCUGGUCUUGAACUCCUGACCUUGUGAUCUACCCCUCUCGGCCUCUCAAAGUGCUGGGAUUACAGACGUGAGCCACCGUGCUCGGCCCUCCAUUGCCUUUUGACCAUCAACAAAAAGGGCCAAAGUGAAGCUUGCUGGAAAGGCUUUCUAAGCCAAUCAUUCUCAGUAAUUUGGGGGUUGUUUCAUUCGUCUUUAUUUGGAGGAGGCUAAAAUCAGUUGCACAUUUGUAGUGAGCAUUUUGGAGUCCUGUUAUUUGAAUUAUCCAUUAUUUCCUACGUAAUUGGAGAGUUCAGGUUAAUGUUUUCUUCUAUCUCAUGUCUUGAAUUCCCAGCAGAGGCUACACAAAAUUGACUUCUACUUCAUACACCAGUUUAUCAUGGUGCAGAUUAUUGCUCAUUUUUAUUCUUGAAUAGAGCUACAGGCCAAGCAACUUCUUGCCUUGAUAUUGAUGUCCUCUUUCACAUAUGUAAGUAAUGUAUGUAGUGAUUACAAGACAUUCCUUUUGUUCAUUAAAGAAAACCCCCAGGAGACUCUUUGGAAUAAGCUAUGUGUAAGCCACUGAAUACUCUUUAAAGAAGCAAACCUAUGUCAUUAAGGGAAAGCUAAAGAUACGUAAGUUUUUUGAAGUUGACAUCAAGGAGGGCAGCAUUGCUUGGUUGGUGCAACUGCCAGAGACAGGACAGUUUAUUGGUCUGACCAAGGACAAUGUGGAAUUGUAAAGAACGCUGACAGAAUAUUGCAUGGACAAGUUUAGAUAACAAGGGCUGGUAUUUUUCACUAACACUUGGUUUCCUCUGUGUGGUUUUUUUUUUUUUCAGAUUUAUCUUUUCUGUGUUGAAAUCCACACAAGGGACAUAAAAUAACCCUCAAAAAAUAUAAACACAAUAUCCAAACUUCUUGGAAAUUUAAAUGUUAAGUAUUAUUCGGUAAUGUCUGCCCACUGUAGUUGGACAAAACCACAUUCAGGUCUAUGUGUCAGCUUUGUCCCUCAGCCCUGUGAUUUGCUUUUGGUGGCUCAGGGUCACCUCUCCAAGGGCAAGCUCCAUGAAGGCAGACAGCGCGUCUCCAUUUUGAUGAAGCUUUGCAGUCAAGCUCCUCAGUGUGUGUUAGAGAGGCAUAGAGCUCUGCAAGGCUAUGUUCAUGUCUAUAACAAUAAUUGACCUCCCUAGUGGAAAGACAGGAUUUUCUCAAGGAAAAUAGUUUGCGGUGUCAUAUUUGUGGUCUCUCUCGGAAGACAAUUCCAUAAGUGGUUCCUAAGCCUUGGAAAAUUCUCUUUUGCAAUAGUACCCACAAAUAAUGUUCAAAGAGCUAUUUUUGAGGAAAGGAUUCCUCCACAUUUUUGCAGGUGUAAGUCAUUCCUGCCUCAGUGAAGUACAAAGAGUGACGUGAGGGAAGCAGAGUUGCUGGCAGGAAUUUUAAAAGUAAACUAUAUUUGUCCCACGUUAACUGUGCUUCUGGGGUAUAAAGGUCAGGGAUAGAACUGGUCCUGUGGGAUGUUUCUCAUUGAAACUACCUCUAUUCCAAAGUCCUGGUGUCACUAGCCAAGAUGUAUCUAUUCUAAUAAAAUGUAGGUCUCAUAUGACACCACAUUACAAAAUACACAUUUUCAUUUGUUUUUCUUUAUCUAGUCUAUUGGAAAUGUGUGGUUCUUUUGUAGUUUCAGUUAAGAGUCUAAUUUGGUCAUUUUCCUCUUAAAAUACUCUUCAAGUCCUGUAAGUACUCAACAAACACUCACUGUUGACCAAUUUCUAUUUCCAGCCACAUACUGUUCAUAAUGAAACCUACUUAGAGGAUUUGAAUGAAAUAAUGUAAUUAUUUUCAAUGUACAAGAGGCAAAAUUAUCUGCCAUGAAUUUCUCUGGAGUAAAGCAUCCUCAGUCCAUCCAAAUAAAUGUUUUCAUUUUUGACGUUCGAUCAAGAAACACUCAAAUUCAACUGUAUUUUUUGUUAAGAAGAAUAUUUCCUUUGGCAUUCAAGAUGAUCCCAAACAUUGCUUGGAAGAGAGAAGUGGGGAGAGAGACCACAUGUAUUAAAGCACAUUUAACCAAUUUUACUUUGGCACAUUUUGUUUUGCCAUUCUACCUAUCAGUCUUCUCACACCGAAGAGCACUUGCAAACAUUAAGAUAGAAUUUUAAUCUUUCAUGGAAGGGGCUUUUUGUCAGCAUUGGAAAAAGGGAGAUUUAGGUCAAAUUUUGACUGAAGGGCCAUUUCCUUAGCAAACAUCCAGACUCCAGGGAUCCAUUUUGUUUUAUUUUUGCUACUGAAAUCAGUUUUUGAGAAAAGACAAAAGUCAAAAUUAUUAGGCUUUAAAAGAGAGCAGUUUCUUUUAUCACAAUUUGCCGAACUAACUUCGUGGCUUUUUGUUUGUUUGUUUAUUGUUUUUAAUUUAUUCCAAUAUUUAUUUGGAGGAGACUAAAAUCAGCUGUAAGUACAUGGUGAACAUUUUGCAGUUAGGGUUAAUGUGUAAGCCAUUCUGCAUUUCUUUCAUCACUUAGACUUUUAUUUAAUUAAGGCAUUAAUUAGCAUGAAGCUUACUAUUUGGUGUCUGCUUAUCUCUUUUUUUGAGGACCAAGCAUACAGAUGUGCGAGGAAUAGUGUUUUAUUAUUCUAAAUACCUUGGCAUUAUUAAGAGUUUUUUAUGAUUAUACUGUCUAAAUGUUGAAAGAAAAAUUUUUAAAGAUUUGCAUUUCAAUUUUUUUACCUAUAGGCAAGACUGUACCACCCUGAGCAACAAACUUAAGUUUCAGAAAUUUAACUUAGGAACCUUUCAACGAAAUUUGAGAUUUGUGUCAAGAAACCUUUUUAUUAAUGAUUAAUGUAAUUUGGAAUACGGUUCUUAAGUUAAUGUGAACCUGCAAAAUCUACCAUUUUUGCCGCCAUAAUAAGUCAGACCAUGUACAACUUAGAAAUGCAUUCUGUCCCACGUCUCAUGCUGUCCCUUCCUCAGAAUAGUCUGGGAGUUCAGCUGUUACAACCUUUGGUUGCCCUUGGAAGGUAUUUAUGGCUUGGAUGGGCUUUGUUCAUAAUCACUGUGUUCUUGUAGGAUAACCCCCCUGGCCUUCUUGUGACACUGAGCUACUGAUAACAACUUCUCACGUGUACAGAUAAUCCAAAUCCACAUUCAAAAAGUGCAGCGUCAUCAAGACAGACUUGAAAAGGCUUUUUUAGGCAUCAACAGGUCAUUAAAGAUAGCACAUCUCACCAUUUUUCCCUUCAACUACAUAUAUUGUGAAGACUUAAUGGGGGAAGGUGUAAGAUUUUGAUCUCUCAUGAUCCUAACUGCUUUAAUGGCCUGUGGUUCAAGGGUUACUAAGAUUGCAAUACCAAUGAAUGACUCAUUGGUAAAAGAUUAUUUAUCUUGGCCAGGCCUGGCGGCUCACGCCUGUAAUCCCAGUACUUUGGGAGGCCAAGGUGGGUGGAUCACCUGAGAUUGGGAGUUCAAGACCCGCUGGACCAACAUGGAGAAACCCCAUCUCUAUUAAAAAAAAAAUACAAAAUUAGCCAGGUUUGGUGGCCCAUGCUUGUAAUCCCCGCUACUCCAGAGGCUGAGGCAGGAGAAUCACUUGAACCUGGGAGGUGGAGGUUGCAGUGAACUAAGAUUGUGCCAUUGCACUCCAGCCUGGGCAACAAAAGCAAAACUCCAUCUCAAAAAAAAAAAAGAUCCUCUAUCUCUAUUCCGUAUCUCUAUCCACACACACAAAAAGGGACAAUUGGCAUAAAUUCCUAUUUUUAGGCUUCCCAAAGAAAAACACAAUCCUAUAUUCUGUUGGUUGACAAGACUAAGAUUGAAAAGUGACAUAAAGAGUAGGGCUGCAGCCUUUCUAUAGUUUAUUUUUGUCUCCUAAAAAGGAAGAUAUUUGUAUUUCUUUUAGGAACUUCACUCCAACACAUUUAUUCUAAAACAAUUCCUGACUGUGUUGAAAUAAUGAGGUAUAGUUCACUUCGAGAAAAUAUCCUAAAGAAAAGUCCUGAUCAAUGAUUCUCAAAAUUUUUCCAGUCUCAGUAUACUUACGGGAUAAAAAGUCAUUCUUCUCAGUAAUUAAGAGUAGUUAAUAUAACCCUUUGCUUUUGUGUUUAUUGUUGGUGUAGAGAGAGCAAAAGGAGCUAUGUUAAUUGUAUGGCUUUUAAAAACUAAAGAUUAUUCUGAUAUCCCAAUAUUCAUUUCCCCCAGUCCUCAACCCUUGAGUGAGAUGGGCCUUCCCCAUUGAGAGUCACUGUGUGAGUUUUCCAAAAACAAUUAAUUAUUAUGUGUUCCAUCAUGGAUUACUUUAGUGCACUUAAAAUUUGACUCAAAAUUUUACAAGCAUUGAUUUUACUUUCAGAAAUAUGUUUGUGGGCAGAUGUGAAAUUUUCCUAUGGGAAUAUCAGUCUACCUUACUGUUUUGGGGACAUCCAAAUCUUAGUGUAGAGGCAGGUGGGGAAACUAGAUUAAAUGUUGGGUGAACUUGUCUACCGUUUCUACCUUGACCUCUAACUCUCAGGUGAGGGUGGACGUCGUCUCUCCUGAAUACAGGAUAGGGAUUUUCUAUAGUCUGAGGGAAAGGCUGCCUUCUACUGGGUCAUUUAUCCAUCUGUAAAAGAGGAUUUUUCUCCCCUUAAAUAUAACCAUAAUACCCAUUAUCACUUGUUAAAACAUAAAUAAUAAUCCUUUAAUAAUGCCAUCCAGUCAGUUUUCAAAAAUCCCCAUUUCUUUUCUUUCUCUUUUCACAGUUUGUUUGAAUCAAGCCAUAUUCAUACAUGGAAUUUGUUUGACAGAGUCUCUGAAUCUGUUAAGUGUGCAGGCUAGCUCUCACAUUCUCUAUCUCCAGCUUUAUCUCUGUCUUCCUUUCCCACCCUUUUUAUUUGUAAUUUGUUUGUUAAAGAGAUCAGGUUGUCAGGUAAAAUUGGUCUUCCACAAUCUGGAUUUUGAUGAUUAUAUCAGCAUGGUAUUGUUUAACAUCUUUCUCUUUCCCCCAAACCAUUGUUUUUCAGUCAUGAGAGAUAGAUAUAAGCAUUAAAACUCUAUAGCUGAAAUGGCCUUGAAGAUCCUCAGUAACCGACAGCUUUUAAAAGCUGGUACAAGUCGAUUGGCCAAAGGAUAUUGAGUUAGGCAGGGCCAGCCUUUGGCAAUGCAAUUGCUGCUUCCUCGGACCCACAAAAAUUAUUUGUUUUCUUUGAAAAUGGGAAAAAGCUACAAGAUAAAUCAGAAGGCAUAAGCAUAACUAGAAUUGUCUGCAAAAUAAGCUUAUACACAUGGUAAAGGCCUCAUGAUUCUAAGCCUGUCUCCCAGGCUCCCUUUCAAGUUAUCAAGAUUUGCAGAGUUACUUCAUUAUUAUGAAGAUGGUGAGUGCAAGCAGAACAAAUGUAUUCCUGGUAAAAGAACGUUAACAUGAUGGGGAAUGCAGCUAUUUUAGAUGUGAUAUAUAAAAGUAGGGAAACUAUUUAAGUUUCUUAAAAAAAAAAACAAA